rnacentral:lncRNA from 1 species
GAUCUGGUCAUUUUAUUAUCCAAGAAGCGGUUACAACAAGAUCUGGAUAUGAAACUUAAUUGCACGAAUAUCCAUUGUGGAUAAAAGCAAUACAUCUUACUACAUAUGUAAACUAUAACAGGGAGAAAUAGAAUUACAUUCACAUAUAUUUAAAACCAAACUAUAUCAGUACAGAAUGAAAGCUCGCUCAGUCAGUUAAUAGAAAACAAUGUUUGGAAGUACUAGGACUACGAAAGAUGUACCGAUAUACCGAAACAUAUCGGGCAAAUAUGACUAAAAACACGGCGGCCAAAAUUGUGAGGCCAUUAUAGGCAUGACUUCAAACCGCUUCAGACAAAAUGUUACAAUUAUAUCAUUUGAAACAGAUUAGACAUUAGUUAUCACAUUUGAAGCUAAACCAAAUUUUCCACUUGCAUUCUGCAUUAAAAACAACGUGCAUAAGCACUGUUUCAAAUGGACUUUAAGUAUUUUUUUUUAUCAACGUGGAAUUAUGUUGCAGUUCAUCAGUACUUCCUGACCAUACUUAUUUUCUGUUAACUAUAUCAAUAUAUAACUAAGUAAACACCUGUCUACCAAAGCGUGCAAGUAUUGUUCGGCAGUGGGCAUUCAAAUGCCUUGCUAAAUUCAGGAAAGUUGGACAAUGGAACUCGUACUCUGAAAGUUAAUGGAAAAGUAUAAAAUUUUAACAAAUGGCAUGCAUGUUAUAU